AAUAAAAUAUUAAUAAUUUAAUAUUUAAAUUAUUAAUAUAUAAAACACACACAGAGAGAGAGAGAGAGAGACGCACACACACACAAACUGAUCGUUAUUACUACCUCAAUAAUGUAAAUAUUAUAAUUUUUAUUGUUAUUAUUUUGCAGAGCCGUUGCCGAGCUACAGAGAGAACAUGCAGAAAAGAAGCAGUGCUCUUAGUAUAAUGACAAAUAAUUGAGAAAUAAACUAUAAACUCAUUUAAUUAUGUUAAAUCUGAUUCGUUCAUGGUGCGAACUGAGCUUUUUGAGCCUAACUUACAUCAAAAACAAGUACAGGGAGCGACUGAGGGCUCUGGACCAGGAGCUCCGCGUCUGCCUCUCAUCCAUCCCUGCCAGAAUAAGGCGAUUGUGUGCAUCAUCCCAGGCUCAGAUUUCCCAUUAAAAGAGAAAAGCUUCUGGAUUAGCACAUGCUUCCAAGAAUAGGAAGAACCAUAUAUAAACCUAAGCACCUCAGCAAAGUGAAACUACCAAACAUUGGGGAAAAUACAGCUAUACAUAGAUGUGGAUGCUUUUAGAGUGGAUUUGAUGGUAAUUUCACACAAAUGCAUAUUCGUGUUGUGGUGCACUUUGAUGACCUUUUACCACAUUGCUCAAGCCAAACGCUGAGCAAAGAGGCAAUUUGUGCCAAGGCUCGCAGAAGACCGCAAAAUGCUUCUCAUGUGAAUGUGCCCUUAGUGUGAUAUCAAACCUGAGGGUCAUUUUGAAAAUAAUUACAUGUAUAUAUAUUAUACAAACAAAGGACAGAUAUUGAUCUGAUCCUUUCAG